rnacentral:lncRNA from 1 species
CUUCUUCCGUCAUACUUCGUAGAAUGAACCAACUUUUCUCCUUCUUCUUCUUGGGUCCUUAAAGCUAUAUAAUAUUUUUUUCUAUCUUUUUCUACUUUUUUCACUAAAUUUUUUUGCUCUCAAGAUUUAUUCCCGGACCUUCUAUUUAUAGAUAAUUUUUUCAUAUUUUUUUGGUAGGAAAAGGAGUCCUAAAAUCCUUAGAAAUCAUAUAAAACCCUUGACAAUUAUUUCUGAUCAUCAGAUUAGCUUCGAACCACUC